UACGUAGGGCGCAAGCGUUAUCCGGAAUUAUUGGGCGUAAAGAGCUCGUAGGCGGUUUGUCGCGUCUGCCGUGAAAGUCCGGGGCUCAACUCCGGAUCUGGCGGUGGGUACGGGCAGACUAGAGUGAUGUAGGGGAGACUGGAAUUCCUGGUGUAGCGGUGAAAUGCGCAGAUAUCAGGAGGAACACCGAUGGCGAAGGCAGGUCUCUGGGCAUUAACUGACGCUGAGGAGCGAAAGCAUGGG
rnacentral:rRNA from 1 species